rnacentral:rRNA from 1 species
UACGGGGGGGCAAGCGUUGUUCGGAAUUACUGGGCGUAAAGGGCGCGUAGGCGGUUGGAUAAGUCAGCUGUGAAAACCACGGGCUUAACUCGUGGCCUGCAGUUGAGACUGUCUGGCUUGAGUGUGGGAGAGGAGAGUGGAAUUCCUGGUGUAGCGGUGAAAUGCGUAGAUAUCAGGAGGAACACCAGCGGCGAAGGCGGCGCUCUGGGCCGGUACUGACGCUGAGGAGCGAAAGCGUGGGGAUCAAACAGG